rnacentral:rRNA from 9 species
AAAAGAAGUAGGUAGCUUAACCUUCGGGAGGGCGCUUACCACUUUGUGAUUCAUGACUGGGGUGAAGUCGUAACAAGGUAACCGUAGGGGAACCUGCGGUUGGAUCACCUCCUUACCUAAAGA